rnacentral:tRNA from 1 species
GUUGUGGCUCAGUGGUAGAGUGCUCGUUUCGCAUGUGUGUGGCCCUGGGUUCAAUCCUCAGCACUACA